UCAACUGUAUGCAAUUCUAGACUGUACAUUCACUAUCUGGUAGAAAUAAUGUGACCUAAAUGGAAUUCUUUUAGGGAUACAUGGAACCAUUCCCUGCUUGUACCAGGGAAUUCCCAGACUGACCCAGCAUGAUUCUGGGGAUCAGGGGAUUUGGCCUGAAACAGAAUUUAAUUUCUCUGUAAUGGGGUCCCCAGCCCUGCCCCCAAUGGACUGGUAAUCCAUUCAGGUUGUGAUACCACCUAAGUUCUCGACUGCACUAAUUAUUUCUCUAAUUGAACUAUUGCAGUCUUCUGCCACACCACUAAGGUCAUUAGCUACCUAAAGAGAGGGAGGCCCCAUAAAUCCAGUGUGCAGUGCCAGGAUGGGUGACGGAGUGUGCCGUCACACCCCUCGCCAAUGCAAACACCCUACCCCAUCACCAGGGUGAGAAGGAUUUCAGGAAAAGCCUCUUGGGACGCAGCCAAUGUAGGAUUGCGGCUAAUCCGCACGACAGCCAUUAGUGGGACAUUUGGGCGUGGAUGUGCGACGUGUUUUGGGCUUGGCCUUGCAUAUUCGGCCGUAAUUCGCAUGCCCCGCUUUUCCGUGUUUGCCUUACGAGGCGGGAGAUGAAUUGCGACUGGCCUGAUCUCGAAUCCUGGCCCAGUGCGUCCUGCCAAGCGGCAGCGGGGUGUGAUCGAUGGCAGCCCGUCUCCAUAAAUCAGCUUAAGCACGAACAAAGCCAGACUUUAAAGUGCGCCAUCUUUGCGUAUGUAUUAUUUUUUAUUUUUUUGUCUCUUGUCCUGCUGUAAUUGCUGGUGUCAUUUAGCGAAAGGACAGUUAUGAAGCAAAGAUAAUUGGGCCCACGUUUUUUGCCUUUUUGCGUUGCCUUUUAAGAUCAGUGCUGGUCAGGGCAGUGUCUGUACGUCUGGAACUGCAACGUGACGUGCGUCUCUAUUUAACUAAAUCGAUAUGUGUGUCGGGGGGGGGUUGCUAUUUAACAACCACCCCCCCCCCAGCCCCCAGCCUUUGGGCGGGCGUCAUUUACAAAUGAGGAAAUCCUGCACAUUUGCAUUAACGAUCCGCCAAGAUCGACCGGCUCUGAUCGUCAGAACGCCGCUGAAAUGAAUCAGCCGCGUUGCUUUUUAACUCAUCUAUGGCGAGGAAGAAAGAUCCACUGUCCAUCCAGGGACAUAUAUUGAAUUCAUUUAUUAACAAAAGUGUGGCGUUAAUUACACAGACAGGCUUGUCACAGCUACGCUUUGAAAAGCAUCAUAAAAAGCGAUGAAAAACAGUGAAAUCUACCCGAAUAACGGAGUUUGAAAGGUAUGCUUGUAAUGGGAGCGGACGUUGCAUUUGACGUGGUUAUUAUCUAGCCGACGUGCAUUUCUGUGUAUCGCAGUAGCAUGACUCUCUUCCCGGUAAGUGGUUUGUAAAAUGGAUAGAUGGAUCGUAUCUGCCUGGCGGCCGUGACCAUCAUUUUUAUUUCAUUAUUUUCUUUCUGUUUUAUAUUUUUUUUACCUUAGUUAAGUGGCCGCUGAAGCACUGUGGAAUGUAGCGAUGAUUUAUAAAAGGUGAGUUUUUUUUUCUUGAAAAACAAAACGUAUCUGCAUGGAAUUAAAGGGGAAUUAGCUGGUAGCAUGAGAUAAUUAGCAGCUGAGGUGAGGGAGAUAAUUAGCAGUCAUGUGACUCUUUGGCUGGUGCCGCUGAGUAACAGGUGAGGUGACCAAGGGGGAGGGGCGGACGGGGGUUAUCGAGACUCCCGCUGUUCCCAGACGCUGUCCCCAGACGCUGUCCCCCGCGGUCUUAACAAUGGAAGAUUCGAUGUAAACAGCAACUCGGGCGAGAAUCGGGAAGGUCGGUCAGGAUAAGGAGGUGCAGCUUUUAAUAUUUUAAUUCAAGGACCCGUGUGGAACCGUGGAGAUAAGAGGAUUAAACGGCAAAUGUGAUCCAGCGGCUGGGAGAGCAGCAACGCAGUUCCUAGGCCCACUGACCUUGGGAUUCUGGUUUCUGUAAGCAGGUAUGGGGGUCCGGCUGGAUUAUCCGUUUUGUUUAGCAAUCAGCAGUCUGAGUCCUGGGCAGGGACGUGGAAGGAGCUUCAGGUAAGCGCCGGAAUACUUUGCAAAACUCUUAAGGACAGGAUUUCUCACGGUCCUGAGCAAAUGCGGACACACUUUGUAGCUGAUAACUCACUGUUUCUUCUUUUUUUUUUUUUUUUUGUUAAUCCCUUAUUCUUUUGGGAAUUACCUGGUACCAGGUGGGAGAAAGAGUCUCAAACGUGCGACUGAAGGUAUCAGACGGUGUGGGGAAAUCGGCCCUUUUCCACACAUGGGGAGACACGACUGGUGAAGGAUCUCAGACACGACACUCAGAGAAUCCCGCCAGAACAGGGACGGGCUUUUUAGUGCCGACUGGGGCGGGGAGCGUGGUGAAGGUCAGGGUUCACGGGAACUUUCCACUACAGGUUUAAUGGCAGAUUAGCUGUCGUCACCAUUAACCACCCAGGUUGCUGGUGGACUCCUGACUGCUUUUCCCCGCCUUCUCCACUGCCGUUCAGUCACAUUUUAUUAUGCAGAAGCUAUUCACGUCACGGGCUACAUUGCUGAUAUUAUCUCAAUUAAUCAAGCACUAUUGAGAAAGUCAUUCUCUUUUUCUGUGCCUUAGGUCCUGUUUCCAUUAGAGUUUUUGAGAGCGACAUUGAGAGUCAUAAUACAACAGCUAGUCAAUACCUAAUGUGACAGCAGCUGCUGAUUACAAUUAGGCAAAUUAUGGACUAGGGAAUGGGCAUUUUGAAUGGGAAUCUUGCUGACUGUACAAGGAACAGGGUAGGAAAUGUUCUGUGUGGAGAGAACGGACAGGAAUCAAAGGAGGUAUCCUAAACAAUGUUUAAAAUUCAUCUGGAACUCUGGUUCCAUAUCCAGGCUUGUUUUUCAAGAUUGUCCUCAAAUAUUUUCCAGGCUGACAAGGUAUGUUUUGGACUAUGCCAGUGACUGCAUAGAAUUAAAUAAUUCAAUCAGAAAAGAUGGUUUAAUAUAAAAGUAUUCCUUCUGGUAGGAUGGGGGGGGGGGAGGUGCAGUGAUUAUUAUAAAAAUGUCUUAUAAGUUUCUCUUGAAGUUUUAAUAGAAAUGGGGCUUACGUAUUUUUACUUAAAAUAGCAUUAUGCUCUUCCCAGUAACACCAGUAGCUGAGACAGGAGUGGUAAGUGAAGUGUUGGUUUGUGGUCAGCCACACCCGCAAAAUCUGAAAGGUCACUUUUUUAUUGUUUUUUCAUGUCUGCGAUAUGUUAUCGACAUUACCUUAACUAACAUACCUUUGGAGGUGGCCACAUCUGCUCAGCGUCUCUCUGAUAUUCUUGCUUCCUUUCCAGCAGCUGUGUAGCCGAGAAGGUUCUGUAUGGUCUUCGGGCACUGGAGGUGCAGGCGCCGGGUCACAGUUCGGCCAGCUGACGAGGUCACUUGUAUAUCUGGUGAGGAGCGAAAGCUCACGCAUGGUGAGCGUGCAGCCUGCUCCCGGCUCCAUUGGUGCUGAUCCGGUCCUGAAUACAGAUACGGUGCCCCUUCUGGCCGUUUCGGGUGAGGAUGCUCUGUAACCACGCCCACCGUGUUGCCACCGAAGCCGAGAACAGCUGGGUGUAGUUGCUUUCCGAGUGUCGUCGCACCCCUCCGUAGGCAGAAGAACACCGAACAUAACCUGGAAAAAUGUACAGACGGUCCCUUGAGCAAUUCAGGAUUAAGGGCCUUGCUCAUUGAUGACAUCACUCAGCCGGCCCUGGGAUGAUUCAAACCGGUGACCUUCCAAUCACAGACACGGCAUCCUAACCCGCUGAGCCACGCCAAUACAAAAAAAGACAAAAAAAAUAAAAAAUGAAAAACAAGCAGCACGCAGAUAAAUGCAGAACACAUACAGUCCUGAGCAUUCCGGAAUGAAACGGACAUACGGUUCGGUCACAUUUCAAGAAAAACAGAUUUCAAAGAGCUCAAAGGCCACCCCUUUGCCCAAAAAAUGAAUCAAGAACGGGUUGAUAAACACGGCUGUCACUUUCACGAAGCACGGUUUUAUCUCCAGCAUGGAUUUCUUUAACCAAGAUGAUUACUGCACAAUAUGCUGCUGGCUCGGUAGUAAAUCGCAGAAUCGUUACUGAAUCAUUAAAAGACACAUACAGGCAGGUCACCCAUUCUUUUGGCAUCGAGUUCAGGCAAGGCUGGACUAGCCAUUUGACACACUGGGCAUUUCCCCAGUGGGUUGAUGGGUUUGUGGGUGGGCAAAAUUUAUCGGACCCCCCCCCUCUAUUCCCCCCAAAUCAACAAAAUGCAUCGUGGCCGUGGCCCCAAAACCUGAUCAGCAAAAUUUACUGAGACCAUGUUUGUUGACAGAGCUGAUUUUUAAUUCCAGUCAAGCCAGGAGUUUUGGAGUCCUUGAAGGCAAAGACCCGUAACCCUUGGCGAAGCAUCGUCGCCAGGGCAACCAGGCACAUGACCUAGCCUUACGGAUGCCCCAUAAUUGUAAUGCAUUACUGCAGAUGAUAUUCAGCCUGAACAUGCACGAUCUGCUCGGAAUAGAUGAAGUGCUUUGCUAAGGAGCACAAUAACUGCACCCAUCUCGGGACAACUUUCAGGUGCACUUAUCUUGUGGUCUUGGUUGAAUCAGGUGACUUUAAAGUUACACCUUCUAACAGCAGCUCCGCCAGAGUGGGUGAGGGGGAGGGGGGGGCAUGUUUUAUGUUUAUCUUUGCUGAUACUGCACGCUGACUGGCUGUUGAUUUGCACCUCCUUUUCCACAACACACCUCCCUGAUAACAGCUUCCCUGCUCAUCUCCAUGGCAGUUGACAGUGCCGGUUCUGUUUGUGUACAGUGGAGAGCAGUCAAUAUGCCCACGGUUCCAUUCGCCGGGAUUCAUGCCUGACAGAUUGCUUUGGCAUAUGUGCGAUUUAUCAGGUGCUAAAUAAUUUAGUCUGGUUAAAAUAUUUACAGAGUGGGAAUCCAUUCAAAGUAAAGGAACAAGGAACUAGAAAAUACAAAUAUCAGCGGCGAUAAGGACCAGUCUGGCCUCAUGACCAGUUAACAAAAUUUCCAUAAUGUUCUCCUGGGAUCAAUAAAGUUCAUGUUAUCUCAAAA